rnacentral:rRNA from 1 species
GAGAAAUAUCUUUGUUUUUAGUAUUUAACGAAAAAAAUUUUUUUGUUAUAGUAAAUUAGUACUGUGAAGGAAUUUGUUGAAUUAAUAUAAUAAUAAAUUUUUUAUAAGUAUAUUUUAUUUAUAGUACCUUUUGUAUCAGGGUUGAUUAAAUUCAAUAAUAAAUUUUUUUUUCUCGAUUUCAUAAGAGCUAAUUUAUUAUUUUAGUUAAUGUUUCAUAAUUAUUAAUAAUAUAAAUUAGUGAAGAGAUUUUAUUCGGUUUUGAAGGUAUCUAGUUUUUCGAGAAUUAAAUUUAAUUUAAUUUUAUUACUUAAAUAUUAUAUUUUAAUAAUUUUUAUUUAAUAAACUAAAAUUUAUAGGGGAUAAGCUCUAUAUAUUUCUAUAAAAGUUUUAAUUAAUAAAUUUUUGUAGGUUUAAAAAUAACCAUCUUUAAAAAGUAUGUUAUAAUAUAUAAUUGAUAUUAAUUAAUUUUAUUAUUUUUAGUAAAUUAUUGAAAUUCUUUAAUUAAUUUAUUAUUUUAGGAAAUAAUGAUUAAAUUAGUAUAAUAAAUUGUUUAUUUAUAUAUAAUUGUUAUGAUAAAAUAAGGAACUCGGCAAAUAUUUAUUCCCGCCUGUUUAACAAAAACAUGUCCUUUUGAAUUUAAUUUAAGGUCUAGCCUGCCCAGUGAAUAUUUUAACGGCCGCGGUAUACUGACCGUGCAAAGGUAGCAUAAUCAUUAGUCUUUUAAUAGAGGGCUGGAAUGAAAGGUUUCACGAGGAAUAAACUGUCUCAUUUUAUUUGUUUUAAAAUUUAAUUUUUUAGUUAAAAAGCUAAAAUAUUGUUGGAAGACGAGAAGACCCUAUAGAUCUUUAUAGGGACUUAUUUAAAUAUUUAUAUAUUAAUGUAUUUACAUGAUUCUCUAUUUUGUUGGGGUGACAAAAAUAUAUAAUUAACUUUUUUAUUUAAUUAACAUUGAUUAAUGAAUAUAUGAUCCACUAUUAGUGAUUAUUAGAUUAAGUUACCUUAGGGAUAACAGCGUAAUCCUCCUCCAGAGUUCAUAUUUACAGGAUGGGCUUGCGACCUCGAUGUUGGAUUAAGAUAAUAACUAGGUGUAGCCGCUUAGUUUAUAGGUCUGUUCGACCUUUAAAUUCUUACAUGAUCUGAGUUCAGACCGGUUUAAGCCAGGUCGGUUUCUAUCUCCAAUUAUAUAAUAAUUUUUAGUACGAAAGGACCAUAAUUAUAAAAUAAUUUUUUAAUUUUGAUUUACAUUAACUAUUUUGGCAGAAAAGUGCCAUGAAUUUAGAAUU